rnacentral:rRNA from 1 species
GACGAACGCUGGCGGCGUGCUUAACACAUGCAAGUCGAGCGGACUUAGAGAGCUUGCUCUCUAAGUUAGCGGCGGACGGGUGAGUAACACGUGGGUAAUCUGCCCUCAAGUGGGGAAUAACACAAAGAAAUUUGUGCUAAUACCGCAUAAUGUAUGCUGGUCGCAUGAUUGGCAUAAAAGAUUUAUUGCUUGAGGAUGAGCCCGCGGCCCAUUAGCUAGUUGGUGAGGUAAAGGCCCACCAAGGCAACGAUGGGUAGCCGACCUGAGAGGGUGAUCGGCCACAUUGGAACUGAGACACGGUCCAGACUCCUACGGGUGGCAG